ensembl:lncRNA
GAUAUCUAAUCAACGCACCGGGAGCCCAACAAACCCGAUGCAGACAGAAUGUCUCUAUGAAUUCACAGCCUUUUGGUCUCUAAAACAAACAUACAGGGGUUGUUGCAUACAUUUCUCCCCGAAACUCAUUCCGUACUUUUCGAUAGUUAGGGACAGAACUAUUUUUAACACGGUUAGCCCUGCUUUAGCGCAAACCCAAAGGCCUGAAUAUUUAGCUGCCCGGACAGAUUAAAAAAUAUAUUCUGAAUAAGUGAAUCUCUCAUAAUGGAUAUUUCUGGAGCCUUUACGCGAUUUACCGGAUCUGGAGCAACAUGAGGAGGCUCAAAAGUCAGACAGUCAGUCAGUCGCCAUCAGCCUUUUUUCGUUCCGACAUACAGCCAAGAAUGAUAAAGGAUUCGUUAUGGACAUCUGACACUGGGGACUUAGAUGCAAUUCUACCGUUCUGUACGACCGAUUUUUCAAACUCACCGAGAAUACAGGGAACGUCGACUCCCUCCAGACAUAUUCCCGACCCCAACAGGCAACGAACAACUGUGGCCCAAGUACAUUGCUCAGAUUCAACGCCACCCGAAAACUACUGUUGGGCUGGGAACUUGCUGCUUCACGAUCCGGCGCUCCAGGGACACGACUGCCCGGAGACAGCCCCUGCAGAAUCUGGAACGCUAGAGGAAAAAAGUCUAGAGCCCUCAGGAUCCUCAAUUCGUCAGAACAAGCGCCUAAAAAGCCGAGACUCCGCCCCGGCGAAAAACGGCACAGACGGCCACAUACAUCUAGAGCUGGGGGAUUCCGGCGCCCCGAACAUUCCCGAGGAAACACCCGAGAGACCUGUUUUUAAUGACAUGUCAGAUGUUGACGACCAGCUAUUCUGUGAUGCAGCCAACCUUAUCGACCCAGUCAAUUCUACGGCCUCAGUACCUGCAGCCGAACAAGAAAGGCUGGAGUUCCGUGGUUGUCAUACGUGAAGAGCUUUGGCGGUCUGCGUUCACUGUUGCGGUCACUUUGAGCUGGUAACAGAGGAGCUGCAACUUCUUUGUCCACGGGAUGUCGGUGGGCGGAGCCGGGAGGGUCGUCAGAGAAAUGGGACACACCUGGGCUCAGUCUUGAAGGAGUUCCCACAUAUGCACUUGUUGGCUGCUUUUCCUUCACUCUGGAGUCCAACUCAUCCCAAACGAUCUCAAUUGGUUUGAGGUCGGGUGAUUGUAGAGGCCAG